CAGUCGCCGCGGUAAUACGAAGGGUGCAAGCGUUACUCGGAAUUACUGGGCGUAAAGCGUGCGUAGGUGGUGGUUUAAGUCCGUUGUGAAAGCCCUGGGCUCAACCUGGGAAUUGCAGUGGAUACUGGGUCACUAGAGUGUGGUAGAGGAUAGUGGAAUUUCCGGUGUAGCAGUGAAAUGCGUAGAGAUCGGAAGGAACAUCUGUGGCGAAGGCGACUAUCUGGGCCAACACUGACACUGAGGCACGAAAGCGUGGGGAGCAAACAGGAUUAGAUACCCGAGUAGUCCCUGUCUCUUAACA
rnacentral:rRNA from 1 species